UUCAUCACCAUUUUUUUUAAAUUGAUCCAAAUUAUGAAAUACAAUCGUGAUAAAUCAAUAAUGAGGUCAAUGUUCACCUAAUAAUCGACAAUAAUAUUACUAUUAAUAUUCAUGAUCUUACUACCUUUCUGUUCUGCACUUUUUUCAUUCUUACUUUUUCGAUUGAAUAAUUUACCUAUAACAGAAGAGUUGCUUCCUACUAGGCUUGUUAUGUUUAUUGUUUUUUCGUAAACACAUAUGGAGGAAUUUAUAUUAUGAGAAUAUGGCACUUUUGUAUUUCACUUAGUUAGUGCUAGAAAGAUUUAUUUUCUUUCUAAUCAUAAACGUGAAUUUUAUUGUUUAUUUUAUUCAAUUAGUUUUGUAGUUGGUUUCAGUGAUGAACAAAUAUUAUUAGCUCCAGAAAGCGAAAAAGGUAUCCAGGCUAUCAAAGAAAGUCGAAAGGUUAGCGUACUUAACCUUCAAGUGCUAUCAGUGAAACAACGGCCACCCACGCCUGAAAUUAGUUCUAAUCGCCUCAUCUACGCUGGAUUACUCCAAGAGCUAUGGCAUGUAUGCCAAUUUGUUCAACAGCUAUAUUGUCCUAGACAAGACGGUAUGUAUCAAGUUAACCAAGCGAGAUCCUUAGAUGAAACAAAUAAUUGGGUAA